CCUACGGGUGGCAGCAGUAGGGAAUCUUUCACAAUGGGCGAAAGCCUGAUGGAGCAACGCCGCGUGCAGGAUGAAGGCCUUCGGGUUGUAAACUGCUUUUAUAAGCGAGAAAUAUGAUGGUAACUUAUGAAUAAGGAUCGGCUAACUUCGUGCCAGCAGCCGCGGUCAUACGUAGGAUCCGAGCAUUAUCCGGAGUGACUGGGUGUAAAGAGUUGCGUAGGUGGCAUAAUAAGUAGCUAGUGAAAUCUGGUGGCUCAACCAUUCAGACUAUUAGGUAAACUGUUAAGCUCGGGACCGUUAGGGGUAACUGGAAUUUCUAGUGUAGGAGUGAAAUCCGUAGAAAUUAGAAGGAACACCAAUGGCGUAGGAAGGUAACUGGGACGGUUCUGACACUAAGGAACGAAAGCGUAGGGAGCAAACGGGAUUAGAUACCCGUGUAGUC
rnacentral:rRNA from 1 species